rnacentral:rRNA from 1 species
AACGCGAAGAACCUUACCAGCCCUUGACAUGUCCGGGACCGGUCGCAGAGAUGUGACCUUCUCUUCGGAGCCCGGAACACAGGUGCUGCAUGGCUGUCGUCAGCUCGUGUCGUGAGAUGUUGGGUUAAGUCCCGCAACGAGCGCAACCCCCGUCCUUAGUUGCUACCAUUUAGUUGAGCACUCUAAGGAGACUGCCGGUGAUAAGCCGCGAGGAAGGUGGGGAUGACGUCAAGUCCUCAUGGCCCUUACGGGCUGGGCUACACACGUGCUACAAUGGCGGUGACAAUGGGAUGCUAAGGGGCGACCCUUCGCAAAUCUCAAAAAGCCGUCUCAGUUCGGAUUGGGCUCUGCAACUCGAGCCCAUGAAGUUGGAAUCGCUAGUAAUCGUGGAUCAGCACGCCACGGUGAAUACGUUCCCGGGCCUUGUA